AUGAAUAUUAUAUUGACAGAGAGGAAGAAGAAAGAAAGAAAGAAAGAAAGAAAGAAAGAAAGAAAGAAAGAAAGAAAGAAAGAAAGAAAGAAAGAAAGAAAGAAAGAAAGAAAGAAAGAAAGAAAGAAAGAAAGAAAGAAAGAAAGAAAGAAAGGAAGGAAGGAAGGAAGGAAGGAAGGAAGGAAGGAAGGAAGGAAGGAAGGAAGGAAGAAGAAAGUGAUAGGGUCAUGCCAAAAGUUUUAUAAGAUUAUUACUCUUCUCAUUUUUGUUUUAUUUUUUAGAGUUAAAUGGCUGGUAUCCAUAAGAAAUGUAAUUGUCUCCUUGCUAAUCUUGGAUUGCUUUUUAAUUACCUUAGGACAUUCUGUAAGAUGCAGAAUUACAUGAUAUCGUGUAGUUUUAACCCAAGUGGGAUAUGAUACAUGAAAUGGAAUUAAUCCUCUACAUAGAAUGACUCAACUGAAUGGAUCAGCAAGUCUCAGGUCUGUGCAAUGACUGGAUUAUAUAAAGCCAGAGAUACUUCAAAGAUCAGAGGAUUCAGGACUGAAGAAGAUUAGAGACUGUCAGAAUGACUCCUUCGAUAUACAUAUGAGGAAUCUGAGGACCUCAGAUGUCAAAGCAAUGUUAUCAAGGUCACAAGGUAGUAGAGAGUAGCCCAGUUAGAAUUGGAACCUACAUCCUUUGGCUCUAAGUCUAGUCCUUUUUCCACUUUAGCAUGAUGCCUCAUUUGGAGACAUUUAAUAUUGUAUUGGUGGUUAGUUUCCAUUGUGUGGUGUUUGCUUGUCACAGCACUAGUGACAGAACUAUCUCUUGGUCUUUGUCUAUUAGUGGAAUUAGAGGCAACUAGAUUAUCAUAUCACACAGUUAUUAAAUUAUAACCCUGGCCAUGCCACUUAACCAUUGUCUUAUUCAGUUUCCCCUACUGUAAAAUGGGGAGAAUAAAAGCACUUACCUCCCAGCA
rnacentral:lncRNA from 1 species